rnacentral:lncRNA from 1 species
GCUCGUGAAAACUAUUAGAGUCAUCCAAGUUCUAGCAGAGAUGGAAUAAUAGAGACCAGAUGUACCCUCCCAGCUGAAACAACAAAAAAAUACAGAACAAAAUAUAUGAAAGAAUGGUUUUCAAGGUACUAGACAUCACACAGUGAAGGACAGUGAUCCCAGAGAGAUGAGAAACAAACAAGGUGAGCCCUAUGAUUAUCCCACCUUAUUGCCUUGAAAGUUUCCAGGCCACAGCACAGGAUGAGGAACCUGAGUGAAGCCCAGCAGACUCCCUGAGUUGAAGAGAUAAAGCU